AUAUCAUGAUGUGGUGGUGUA
rnacentral:siRNA from 1 species